CCUGGCGGCUCAGUUGGUAAAGAAUCUGCCUGCAAUGCAGGAGAUCAGGGUUCAAACCCUGGGCUGGGA
rfam:Ovis aries breed Texel chromosome 14, whole genome shotgun sequence.